rnacentral:rRNA from 1 species
UGGGGAAUAUUGGACAAUGGGCGCAAGCCUGAUCCAGCCAUGCCGCGUGAGUGAUGAAGGCCCUAGGGUUGUAAAGCUCUUUCACCGGUGAAGAUAAUGACGGUAACCGGAGAAGAAGCCCCGGCUAACUUCGUGCCAGCAGCCGCGGUAAUACGAAGGGGGCUAGCGUUGUUCGGAUUUACUGGGCGUAAAGCGCACGUAGGCGGACUAUUAAGUCAGGGGUGAAAUCCCGGGGCUCAACCCCGGAACUACCUUUGAUACUGGUAGUCUUGAGUUCGAGAGAGGUGAGUGGAAUUCCGAGUGUAGAGGUGAAAUUCGUAGAUAUUCGGAGGAACACCAGUGGCGAAGGCGGCUCACUGGCUCGAUACUGACGCUGAGGUGCGAAAGCGUGGGGAGCAAACAGG